UACGUAGGCGGCACGCGUUGUCCGGAUUUAUUGGGUUUAAAGGGUGCGUCGGCGGCUUAUUAAGUCAGUGGUGAAAUACUCUAGCUCAACUAGAGGGGUGCCAUUGAUACUGAUGAGCUUGAGUACAGAUGAGGUAGGCGGAAUUGACGGUGUAGCGGUGAAAUGCUUAGAUAUCGUCAAGAACACCUAUAGCGAAGGCAGCUUACUAGGCUGUAACUGACGCUGAGGCACGAAAGUGUGGGGAUCAAACAGG
rnacentral:rRNA from 1 species